rnacentral:rRNA from 1 species
GAUGAACGCUGGCGGCGUGCUUAACACAUGCAAGUCGAACGAAGCACCUUAUUCUGAUUUCUUCGGAAUGAAAAAUUUGGUGACUGAGUGGCGGACGGGUGAGUAACGCGUGGGUAACCUGCCUCAUACAGGGGGAUAACAGUUAGAAAUGACUGCUAAUACCGCAUAAGACCACAGCACCGCAUGGUGCAGGGGUAAAAACUCCGGUGGUAUGAGAUGGACCCGCGUCUGAUUAGGUAGUUGGCAGGGUAACGGCCUACCAAAGCGACGAUCCAUAGCCGGCCUGAGAGGGUGAACGGCCACAUUGGGACUGAGACACGGCCCAG